UUUACCCUCAUUCCAGUCAUGCAGAACAACUCUAGCAGCAGCUUCAACAUCCACAACUCCACCCUUUUUGAGCCUACCCCUGACACUAGCCACCUUUUGCAGAAAGUCAUCAACUGAUUCAAAGUUUGGUAUCUUGUAUAGGGUUACCAACAGUCUGGCAGGGCAAAGCUUGAUAAUUUCUUUAACAGGGCUAAUCGGAUCAUCUAGCUUCUCAAUCCUUUUGCAAUUACGAAGAGCUAUGGAUGCAUUGUUCUCCCCUGUCUUGAGCAAUACAACACCAGGACAAUCCAGCAAUUUAACAUUCUUGUCUAGCUGAACUUCUUGCAUUGAUCUUGUUAACCCAGGUGUAGCACCAACAUUGACAACAUGAGAUCUCUUCAAGCUGUUAAUUAGACUACUCUUGCCAACAUUAGGCAGGCCAAUUACACCAACUGUAAUAGAUUUUUUAAUAUCAUGACUUCUUGAGUAAUUUUUCAGCAAUUU
rnacentral:misc_RNA from 1 species